rnacentral:lncRNA from 1 species
UACAUCAAAAACCAUACUUUAUUUUAUGUAUAGCAAUACAAUUUACAUAUUAAAUAACACUAUAAUAGAAUGAUUUGAUAUAGUUUAACAUAACAAAAAAAAGAUUCUUCAAGUUACAAAAAACCCCCAAACAAAAACCAAACCAAAACGAACCAAAAAAUCUCCCUCAAAACACUCCCUCCCACCCUGUCCCCAAACCAAACACCACAUUUGCUUUUGUUUCUUCUGAAUGGAUCAAUGAGACAAACGUAUCCAGUGACUGGCUAAAGUCUAAUUCCUAUUGCACACACUGACAAUGGAAUCAAAAUAAAACUAAACCCCAACUUGUCACAAUCACUGCCCCAAAGAAAUGACGUGUGUGGAAACCUUGUUUGGAGUGUGCUGAUGGCGUCUCACUACCUGGGUACACAGAAGGUAUGUAUUCACAUAACCACCACAGAACUAGGGAGGAGGUGAAACUAGAAAAAAAUUAGCUUUAUAUGAAAAUAUAAAAUUCUAUGAUUAUAUACCAUAGAUACAAAGUUCCCAGAAGAUGCUUAUAUCCAAGCAACAAAAUAUUUACAGUUUUAAUGACUUUGCUCUUUUAAAAAUGGAGGAGAAAAGAAACGAGGAGUACACGUGAAUGCUUCGGUCUUUAGAAACAAUGGCUGCUCGCUAGUUUCAAAUGUCCUAAACACAACAUAAAGAGUCACUACCCCAAAUGUUGGAGAGUUGUGACGUUGUAUAAAAUUGACUCGUCUCCUCCUUUGGAGACGUUUUAUUCGUAAAACUCAAGACAUUUUUCUUGAAAUUAAUUAUCCUCUGUAGAAAACGCUUCCCUUUGCAAAGAGUUAACAAAAACACUAAAAACAGUUUAAACAGCUAAGACAAAGUAGAGGCCAAAUCUCUUCAUUACAGUUCCUUCUCUUUAUGUUUGCAUUCCUUCUCCUUUGAUAAGUAAAGCCAAUGUAGUUCACAUUGUUAGAAUGGCAACAAAGAGAAGAAGAGCAAAGGGGUAACAGUAAGGGUUGAAUUAUGUCUGUGGCAAAAAAGAAAAGGAAAAGAAGCAAAGCAAUGCAGUGGGUUAACAAAUAGGCAUUUUCCCUUCAUAUAAAAAUUCACUGGCACCGUUUGAACAUAAACUUCGGAACACAAGAUCUGAUGUCCAAGGACACGGAUUUGAGAAAGACUGCUAAAUCUUUUAAGACAACUACAUUGUAUUUCUUAAUUUUGAAAUUAAGUUGGUUUUGUUUUGCUGAGAAUUAGUAGUUACGUAUCUUUGGUAGAAUCAAUAUCUGUUUUUUAGCUUUUAAAAAAAUGUAUCAGCUUAGAAACAAAAAGAUUGAUAAGAAGGCAGUUGUGCUGUGUCAUAAAGAUUCUUCUCCUAAUGUUCUAAUGUACCACCCAGGGUUCAAGCAAUUCAAGCAGUCAGAAACUGAAAUUUUGCAGAUCCUGUAAAUGAUCCCACUAACCUAGAACAGACCCACAGCACAGAAACAGUCACACACAGAAUUAGCUUAAGGGUUUUGAAUUUUUCUUUUUCCUGUUCCUAAAUACGUAUUUGGAAACAGACACUGAAAUACUAAGGACAAACGCUGUUUGAAUGUUCUUUACACCUUGGCCCUGCAGAAGAAUCAGCUCUCCCAGACCUUCCUCCUACCCACACCCUGUGUCUGUAGGAUGGGGGCAUUCAGUUGAAACUGUCACCCAUUUUAGAUGCUCAGAUGACACAGCAGUUUUCCAAGCAUUCCCUCUUGGAAAGCUUGGCUGCUCUUACGGGCUCAAUGCACAGAAAUCUUCUGUCUUUCACAUGCUCUGCGGGCACAGUACACAUGCAAGACAUGGACAUAGAGUAUUUCUAAAUGUAGACACACAUAUGGAUGUGCACAUGAGUCCUUUAUGACCUUACUUCUCAGGGCUGGUGCUGAGGAACACAUUUUAUAGUGAUGGGAUAUACUCGGGUUCUCUUAAUUUUCAGGCCUGGGAAGUUGUGAUGCUUGAAAGCCACCCCGACAGAAUGCCAACAAAGUGAUUACAGAGGGGGUAAGAGUGGCUGGUGUGGCAAAAGCACAGCUGCAGAGUGGGACUUUGGCCACACACUCACGAGAGUAUCUCAGCAGAGCUCUGAAAGCACCUCUCUGAACACACAUUCAUGGAGUCAUGCACCUACUUCCAGUAGGAUAGAGUCAGCUCUUCCACUCUCUUAUCCUGACCUUCACAACCAAUUCCUAGCUUCAUCCACUUCAAGCCUAAUGUAUCACUAUCAUCUAUUGGCUUCCUGACUGUCAGCACAGCACUUAACACACAGCUUAAGCCCCCUUAAGAGAAAAAUCCAUGGAGAACUCAUAGAACAUUAUUUCCCCAUGGAUUAAACCCCAAGCAAGUAUUUGGGAUGUGGGAAAAUGCCAAUGCAAAUGCAUGGAUUUCCAAAGCAUCUACCAAAGUUCAACCCCCUCAGCCUUCUUUCAUUGAUUUUUGAAAGCUGUGAGAAGGUAAGGGAUUAAACCAAGGAUAUUCAGGCAGUGCAUCACGAACCACAGUUAUCUUCCAUCACACC